rnacentral:lncRNA from 1 species
GCGAAUUACAUAGAGGGGCUGGAAGGGAAAUUUUCCCUUCUCCUCUAAAACGGCGCCGUUCAAAUGGAUCAAAUUGGAAUUUAAAAUAAAUAAAAGGGUAAAUUAAAAAAAUAAAAAAACUUAAUUACAAAAACAUUAAAAGGCGAAGGGGCUAAAUAAAAAAUAAAUAAAUAAAAUUCGCAGUGGUAUCACCUUCUCCUUUUUUUUUAAAUCGUAAAUAAGUAAAAAAUAAUCGAACGAAAAAAAUAGUAAGCCACCUUUAAAAAACUGCCAAUCGUUCUCUUUUUUU